rnacentral:rRNA from 1 species
UGAGGGAAAAAGUUUAUUGAUUGUACCUCAAGAAUAAGGGGUUGCUGAACUCGUGCCAGCAGCAGCGGUAAUACGAGUGCCCCAAGCGUUAUCCGGAAUCACUGGGCGUAAAGGGUAUGUAGGUGGUUGUGUUAGUUUCUUGUUAAACCUCUCGGCUCAACCGAGAAUCUGCGAGAAAUACGGCACAACUUGAGGAUGCGAGAGGUGUACGGAACUCAUGGAGUAGGGGUGAAAUCCGUUGAUACCAU